CGAGGACGAACGCUGGCGGCGUGCCUAACACAUGCAAGUCGAACGAAGCAUUUAAGUGAAUCCCUUCGGGGUGAAGCUUUUAUGACUUAGUGGCGGACGGGUGAGUAACGCGUGAGUAACCUGCCCUUGAGUGGGGAAUAACACACCGAAAGGUGUGCUAAUACCGCAUAACAUAUCAGAAUCGCAUGUUUUUGAUAUCAAAGAUUUAUUGCUCAAGGAUGGGCUCGCGGCCGAUUAGGUAGUUGGUGAGGUAACGGCUCACCAAGCCGACGAUCGGUAGCCGGACUGAGAGGUUGAACGGCCACAUUGGGACUGAGACACGGCCCAAACUCCUACGGGAGGCAGCAGUGGGGAAUAUUGCACAAUGGGGGAAACCCUGAUGCAGCGACGCCGCGUGAGCGAUGAAGUAUUUCGGUAUGUAAAGCUCUAUCAGCAGGGAAGAAAAUGACGGUACCUGACUAAGAAGCACCGGCUAAAUACGUG
rnacentral:rRNA from 1 species